CGAGUUCCAGAUGCUUUUAUUUUUCUCCGUCUAUAAUUGGAAACAAAAAUACAGCAUGGCUUUUGAAUGGAAAGUGCCAGGAGAGGUGAUGCUUUUAGCUCUGGGAUUUUAACCGUGAUUUAGAGCCCAGCAUGAGGCCGUGGCCCGUCAUCACCACAGCUAGCUGGCUCAGGCUGCUCCCUGCAGACCAGCUCAAGGCUUUAUCUCAGAGCCCGGGUGAGCUUCAGCGCAAGCAGAGGAUGUUGGCUGCUUCUCCACAUCAGACCCACCAGGGAAACAAUCAUUUUACUGCUCCACAUAAUUCACACCCAGACAAGGAGGUACAUUUCAAGAUGUUUUCAGGCAGCAAUGAGUAAAGCGAAGAGCUGUGUGUUCCAACGGACAGAAAACAUGAGUCAAAGUGGCCCCUUUCCCUGGAAAUGCUCUCCGUCUUGGCCUUCACGUCACGUAUAUUCCACCCACCUCUGAGAGACCGACAGAACCAUUUAUUUCACUUUUAUUGUCAGUUCCUUCCGUGAGUGUCAGAAUCAAAUGUUCCUGCUCACACUCAGUAUUGACAAAGGGAAGGAGAAUGUAACACAAGCAAGCCACAUCUGGGAAGAAGUUAGGAUGGGCCCAGGAACAUUUUCUAACAUGAAAACACCAGAAGAGAGAUGCUCGAAGAGGAGAGAGAUUCUUGUCCAAAACCAGAUCAACUGUAGGCUCAUCUUUUCCCAGAAAGUGAAUAGAGAAUCAGCCUGCCCCAGGAGCCCUGCCAAGGAGUCCAACCCCUGGCAGCCUGGCUUUUCAUCAAAUGGAUGGUAAUUUCCCAAGGUGCUAGUUUCACGCUCUCAGGGCAAAAUGUCAAGCCCAGAAUGCAACCCGCAGUUUAGACAGGAGAAGUCCUGUUUCUCUCAUAGACGUCUCCAGCUACCUCCGGUUCCUCAUUUUUCCUCUGUAUAUGUAAUUAAGCAAAAUUAAAAGGUACAGCAUAGCCUCAGAGGGAAA